AUUCAUCAAAACCUAUACCUGAAAAUCAUGCUCAUACAACCAAAGCGCACAUAUCAUAGAUAGAGUGAUUUUCUACACAUAGUUCUACGGGAUAGCCUUACUAUUGGCUAUCGACAACUGGGUUACAGGCUUGAUGAUGAUAGGAUUCGCACGGGCAUCCUCUACAGUUAUGAUAGGCUUAUGUGCCACUCCUGCCACAACCACUUUUGACUUUUCUUGUUUUUCUGCAACAUUACUUGGGAUCCUUUCUUCACUACCGCAGAUGGUUAACCGUUUGUCCCACUUGUCAAACCUCAUUUUUCAUUACUAC
rnacentral:lncRNA from 1 species